CACAAGCGGUGGAGCAUGUGGUUUAAUUCGAUGCAACGCGAAGAACCUUACCUGGUCUUGACAUCCACGGAAGUUUUCAGAGAUGAGAAUGUGCCUUCGGGAACCGUGAGACAGGUGCUGCAUGGCUGUCGUCAGCUCGUGUUGUGAAAUGUUGGGUUAAGUCCCGCAACGAGCGCAACCCUUAUCCUUUGUUGCCAGCGGUCCGGCCGGGAACUCAAAGGAGACUGCCAGUGAUAAACUGGAGGAAGGUGGGAUGACGUCAAGUCAUCAUGGCCCUUACGACCAGGGCUACACACGUGCUACAAUGGCGCAUACAAAGAGAAGCGACCUCGCGAGAGCAAGCGGACCUCAUAAAGUGCGUCGUAGUCCGGAUUGGAGUCUGCAACUCGACUCCAUGAAGUCGGAAUCGCUAGUAAUCGUGGAUCAGAAUGCCACGGUCGAAUACGUUCCCGGGCCUU
rnacentral:rRNA from 1 species